CAGUCGCCGCGGGAAAACGUAGGUGGCAAGCGUUGUCCGGAAUUAUUGGGCGCAAAGGGCUCGCAGGCGGUUUCUUAAGUCUGAUGUGAAAGCCCCGGCUCAACCGGGGAGGGUCAUUGGAAACUGGGAAACUUGAGUGCAGAAGAGGAGAGUGGAAUUCCACGUGUAGCGGUGAAAUGCGUAGAGAUGUGGAGGAACACCAGUGGCGAAGGCGACUCUCUGGUCUGUAACUGACACUGAGGAGCGAAAGCGUGGGGAGCGAACAGGAUUAGAUACCCCCGUAGUCCCUGUCUCUUAUCCA
rnacentral:rRNA from 1 species